rnacentral:rRNA from 1 species
GGCGAACGGGUGAGGAACACGUGAGAAACCUGCCUUUCAUUCUGGGAUAACACCGGGAAACCGGUGCUAAUACCGGAUACUCCGUCUUGGCGGCAUCGCCGAGCCGGGAAAAAAUUUUGAUGAAAGAUGGUCUCGCGGCCUAUCAGCUAGUUGGUGAGGUAAUGGCUCACCAAGGCAACGACGGGUAGCCGGCCUGAGAGGGCGACCGGCCACACUGGGACUGAGACACGGCCCAGACUCCUACGGGAGGCAGCAGUGGGGAAUAUUGGGCAAUGGGCGCAAGCCUGACCCAGCGACGCCGCGUGAGGGAUGAAGGCCUUCGGGUUGUAAACCUCUUUCAGUAGGGAAGAAGCGAAAGUGACGGUACCUACAGAAGAAGCACCGGCUAACUAUGUGCCAGCAGCCGCGGUAAUACAUAGGGUGCAAGCGUUGUCCGGAAUUAUUGGGCGUAAAGAGCUCGUAGGUUGUUUGUCGCGUCGAUUGUGAAAAUCUGAGGCUCAACCUCAGACCUGCAGUCGAUACGGGCAAACUAGAGUGUGGUAGGGGAGACUGGAAUUCCUGGUGUAGCGGUGGAAUGCGCAGAUAUCAGGAGGAACACCAAUGGCGAAGGCAGGUCUCUGGGCCAUAACUGACACUGAGGAGCGAAAGUGCGGGGAGCGAACAGGAUU